rnacentral:rRNA from 1 species
AAAGUUGUUCUCAGUUCGGAUUGUAGUCUGCAACUCGACUACAUGAAGCUGGAAUCGCUAGUAAUCGUGGAUCAGCAUGCUACGGUGAAUACGUUCCCGGGUCUUGUACACACCGCCCGUCACACCACGAGAGUUUGUAACACCCGAAGCCGGUUGAGUAACCUUUUGGAGCUAGCCGUCGAAGGUGGGACAAAUGAUUGGGGUGAAGUCGUAACAAGGUAGCCGUAUCGGAAGGUGCGGCUGGAUCACCUCCUUUCUAAGGA